AAAAAUAAUUCAUUUUAAAAGAAACAGAAAUCAAGCAUAAUUGUAUAAAAAUUCAUUUCUUGCAUAUGAUUCCAAAGAAAACCAUUCAGAAUUUAUAUGAGAAUCCACAAAUUGUAGAUUUAUUUAAAUAAAUUGGCAGUAAAUCCACGUCAACCAGAAACAGAAGGAAACAAACACAUUUAUAAAAUAAAAUAAUGAAGAACAAGAAGAAAGAUGAUGAUGCAUACCUUGUGUGGUGAAUCCUUCACAAUAUUGCUUAUUGCAUUGACUGCA
rnacentral:misc_RNA from 1 species